UCCAAAUUUUGUUAUAUAUUUUUUUAUAAACUUCCUCUCUCCUCAUAUCAAAUAUCAUCAUCAUUUUAAUUCCUUUAAACAGAGCCAAACAGAAACAAAACAAAAGGAGGAAAUAAGAAUGCGGCGACCGAAGAGAGAUUCACGGUGGUGCUCGCAGUGGCCGGCGAUGAAGUUGCGGCGGUGCCACCGCGAGGAAACUCCAAUUUCAUUUUUUUUCAAUUUUUUUUUUACUUUUCUAAAUCAUAUUUUCAUCCUCUCUCCAAAUAUCACCAUGGUUUCCAAAAGGAGCAAUGAAAAACUGUAG